ACAUGCUUACAACAUAGUGUUAAUGCACUAGAUCCCAUUAGAACUCUGCAGUUAAGCGCACUCGGGCUAGAGUAGUACUAGGAUGGGUGACUGCCUGGGAAGUCCUAGAGUUUUACAUGCC
rnacentral:rRNA from 1 species